AUGUAAGUUUAAGGCGGCCAGGGGUCGCCUCUCCAUGCGCGGGGCCCUCCAAGCUUGUAAGGACCCGGUGGUUUGAGAUUCAGAGCCCAGCCCAGCCUUCUUCUGAUCAUCCCUCUGAACUCACUCCUGUGGGCCUCUCUCUGCCGCACUCUCCCCGCUCCCCGCUUGUCCCGCAGGGUCAGUGGAAGGGCGUAGUCCCUGCCAACACGUCCAGCUCUGCCUGGGGUGGUUCCCUGAGCCCCCAGCCCUCCCGAAGCCAGCUAGGCUGAAGGACGUUUUGAGUGACUCCCGGCCAAAGUGUUUCCCAGCCACCAUCAGUCUGCCUCCUGGCUCUGGCCUUCCUCUCCCUCGAGGCGAGCUCCCAGCUGCCUAGGACCACCCCCCCCCCGCCCCCAUGCGGAAGCAAGAGUUUCUCUCCUCCUUGUUCUGAAGUCUCAGCCCUACUCAGUCAACCCUUCCCACCGCCGCUUCUCAGUAAAGCCCUCAUUCAGACAAGACGCCCAAUGACAGGGUUCCCUGGUGGCUCAUCUGGUUAGGGACCCAGUGUUGUCCCUGCUGUGGUUCAGGUCGAUGCUGUGGCACAAGUUCAGUCCCUGUCCCAGGAACUUCCAUAUGCGGCAAGCGGGGCCAGAAAAAGGAGGGAGCAAAAGAGUAAAGAAAAACAUGGGCCUCCCGCUGUGGGCACAGUGGGUUAAUGGACCAGCUUGUCUCUGUGGAGGCCCUGGUUCCAUCCCUGGCCUGAAGCAGCGAGUUAAGCAUCUGGCUUUGCUGCAGCUGUGGUGUGAGUUGCAGCCCUGGCUCGGAUUCCGUCCUUGGCCUGGGAACUUCCAUAUGCAGCAGGUGUGGCCGAGAAAGAAGAGAGAAAGAGAGAGAGAGAGAGAGAGAGAAAGAGAGGGGUGGGGAGAGAGGGAGGGGAAAGACAAACAAAGAGAAGUGGGUUAUAAAAUGUCAUCAAACCCGUGGUUAUAAAUGCUACUACGUGCACAGGGCAUUACAAGACACUCUGCUGCCAUUUACUGCGUGCCUACGCGUAGGCCCUGAGACAUGCGGGGCGCCAUAUAAUUAAAUCCUCAUGAGUAUCUUGCAAAUCAGCGAUUUUGACACUGAAGUGUGGGGGCGUUAAGGGCCCUCUCUAAGGUCCCGGGGGCUCCUUGACCUCAUGGCCCUAACCAGGCUUUGCUCUUCACCAGGGAGGACCCACGGCCCUGUAGCCUGGCGGGUUCCUCCCUGCCCCUUUCUCUCUCUCUUUUUUGUCUUUUGUCUUUUUAUGUUCGCACCCGAGGCGUAUGGAGGUUCCCAGGCUAGGGGUCAAAUCGGAGCUGCAGCUGCCGGCCUACACCACAGCCACAGCAACGCAGGAUCCAGGCCGAAUCUGCGUGCCACCCACACCCCAGCUCAUGGCAACGCCAGAUCCUCAACACACAGGGCGAGGCCAGGGAUCGAACCCACUUCCUCAUGGAUCCUAGUCGGGUUCCUCCUCCUCCGCAUCUCCGCUUAAACGUCACCUCGGGGACAAGGCCCUCCGUGACCCCUCACCUCGUCCCUCUCUGCUCCUUUGUUCCUAAGGAGUCUUCUUGGCCGCACGACUAGGAGUUUGUUCAACGCCGUCUCCCUCGCUGAGGCCCUUUCAGCGACUGCAAAUGUGGCAAACGAGUGACAGCUGUGCUCAAGGCCACCGGGUCACAGAGGCCCUGACUCCUGGGCCCGAAGGGUCUCUCCGAGCUUUCCUCAUCUUGUCCUGUCCUGUGCCCGUGUCAUAGGAAAGGGGAAACUGAGGCCAGAGAAGCAAGGCCCUUGUCGGGCCCCGCAGGGGUUAGAUGCACGGCUAGGGCAGAGCAGUGGCAGGUUCCAGGCUACCGGCCAGACACCAGUGGGUGGCCCCGACUGGCCCCAGUUCAUGUCUGUGUAGGGUAGGAUGAGGCAGGACGGCCCUGAAACGUGGCAGGCGGGAGGGCUGCCUAGGACGACGUGGCUGGCCCGGGGAGAGUGGAGAGGCUGCGGCCUGGCUGGCAAAGAGUUUCCUCCCAGCCCAGGCAAGUAAGCCCAUCCCCGGCUAUGCACGCCUCCCCCAGCUCCUGCCGCCCCAGUGGCUGCCAGGCCCUCAGGUCCCUGGCCAGUGGCCUGCUGCUUACAGAGGCGAGGGCCCAGGGAAGGUGCCUGGCUCCCCGGGUCGGAGCAGUGGGGGAGGGGCUGGUACCUUUACCAAGCUGCCUCCUGUCCCAGCACACAAAGGCAGAAAGGAUAGCCUAUCCCACUCCCGCCCUAGUCCUGGGCUGGGCCGUGCGGAAGCCCAGAGGUGGCUGAGUCACAGCUCCCGGCCCGGCCGAGCCUCUCUGAGGGUGAGCCUCUGGUCUCCACCAGCCAGGACGGUGGGGAGGGCUCGGGGGACCCCCGACAGGAAGGAACAGCCUGUAGGGCACAUACCUGGUCCUGCCGCCCCACCGACAGGGCC
rnacentral:lncRNA from 1 species